UACGUAGGGUGCAAGCGUUGUCCGGAUUUACUGGGUGUAAAGGGUGCGCAGGCGGACUUGUUAGUCAGAGGUGAAAUCUCACUGCUCAACAGUGAAACUGCCUUUGAUACUGCAGGUCUUGAAUCCAGAAGAGAGUUGUGGAAUUCCGAGUGUAGCAGUGAAAUGUGUAGAUAUUCGGAAGAACACCAGCGGCGAAGGCAGCAACUUGGUCUGGUAUUGACGCUCAGGCACGAAAGCAUGGGGAUCAAACAGG
rnacentral:rRNA from 1 species